rnacentral:pre_miRNA from 1 species
AAAGUACUCCCUCCGUCCCAAAAUUUUUGUCUUAGAUUUGUCUACAUACGGAUGUAUCAAGUCACAUUUUAGUAUUAGAUACAUCCGUAUCUAGACAAAUCUAAGACAAGAAAUUUGGGACAGAGGGAGUAGUUG